UAGGGAAUAUUGGUCAAUGGGCGGAAGCCUGAACCAGCCAUGCCGCGUGCAGGAAGAAGGCCCUCUGGGUUGUAAACUGCUUUUGACAGGGAACAAGUCGGCCAUGCGUGGCUAAGUGAGUGUACCUGUAGAAUAAGCCACGGCUAACUACGUGCCAGCAGCCGCGGUAAUACGUAGGUGGCAAGCGUUGUCCGGAUUUAUUGGGUUUAAAGGGUGCGUAGGCGGCCAUGUAAGUCAGUUGUGAAAUACCCCGGCUCAACCGGGGGGGUGCGAUUGAUACUGCGUGGCUUGAGUGGCAGCGAGGUUGGCGGAAUUGACGGUGUAGCGGUGAAAUGCAUAGAUAUCGUCAAGAACACCGAUAGCGAAGGCAGCCAACUAGGGGCCAACUGACGCUGAGGCACGAAAGUGCGGGGAUCAAACAGG
rnacentral:rRNA from 1 species